CACAACAGAGGAGGACAGGGGGCCAGCUGUGGGCCAAGGGGACUCAAGGGAGAGGUGGCUGGGGACAGGCCUUGGUGCAGCACCUCAGCCGUUCUCUGAUGCAAAGCUGGUGGUGUGGCCAGAGCCCCAGAGGAAGUGGGGCUAGUCCUGGGGGAGUAGCCGGGACCGCUCGUGGUUUCCAGGGGCCCUUCUGGCCACGGCGCAGGAAUCAGGAACGGGAGAAGGUGCUGGGGCUGGUGUCUCAGGAGCGAGUCCGGGGCGUAUCUGGCAGGACGUGUGCUGGCAGUGGGAGCCGGGGCUGGAAGGGGCGCUGGGCCUGGAGGGGCAGACAGGGCGUGGCCAUCGUGCCCUGUCGCCCAGGGGCUGCCCAGCUCCUCACACCGCUACGCAGACCCCAUCUCCCUCCCAUGGUCCCCACACCCGCAUUCAGGGGACCCCAUUUCAGGCAUCCGGGCAGCUGGGCCAGCCCUGAGGAAGGUGCCCCCCUCCCUAACUGCACGGCCCUGCCCUCUGCCCGCUGCCCGCUGCAGGGCACCAGGGCCUGCCUGACCCCCACCAAGGUGGUAGCUUCCCAUUUUGAGCCUCAGCCUGAGCUGCAACAGGACAGAGGCCCCCGAGAGGCAGCUCUCCUGCUGGUUCACAGGGUGGCACGUCAGUGCCUGGGGCACCAAGAGCCUGUCCAGCCCAGCCAGCCAGCAGGGCCCCUCCCACCCGCUGUGGGGAUCUCAGGGCUGUCUGUGGAGGGGAGCGGGCUGCUGGCGUUGGGUGCAGCCUGGAAGCUGCUGGCAGCAGUACCGUCAAGAGGGGCAUCUGUAACCACAGCGGGCACUCUACUCAGGGCUCAGAAAACCUCGAGGUUCUUUAGACACCGAGGAGGAGGAGGAGGCGAGGUCCUCUGUCCUCAGCCUAAAGGGCGCCCGGAACACCGCUGUGGGGACGCCAGCGCCCCCGUGCCCCCAACCCAAGCACUCCCGACAUCUGUGCCUUGUGUGGAGCUGAGCACUUCCCUGGGGAUGGCCCUCCCUCCUCCCAGGCGGUGAGGGCCGCACCCACCCCCAAGGGGCCUCAUGCUCGAGGCAGGACAUAGGAGCAGGCAGCGGGGAGUCCCACAGAGCCAGGCCAACUGUCAGGACCUCCUUGUGGUCCUCAAAAACAUUUACUGGAUGGUUCUUUCCAGAGAGGGAGACCCAUGCCGACAGGGCCACGGGUCCUUGCCGGGCAGGGGUCACUUCUCCAGGGGCGCGUAGUUGAGCAGCUUCUCGAUCAGGUCCACGUGGGCCAGCAGCAUGCGGCGGCAGCAGUAGCGCUUCAGGCCCAGCGCAUCCAGGGCGUCCCUGAGGACGAGGAGAAAGCUGGCUGCAGCCCGUUCGUCCUGGCAGAUGGAGGCCCUUGCCCCGGAUGGAGCAAGUCCCGCUCAGCUGCCAUGGGCUCUGCUCCCCGUGUCGGGGAGGGAGACACCUCUCUCAUUUCCCAGAGACGCCACCCUUCACCCUCAAGGCCUCUGCAGCCUCCUCGGAACCUGGCGCAAAUACUAAGGCCAUCCAUCGCUUCCCCAUUCAUCCGACACACUUGCAGUAAGAGCGUACGCCUCCCUGGCACACCCCGGGACCCAGAGAUUCAAAUGUGAUGAGGAUGGGGCUGUGCACACAGGGGCCCAAGGUCAGACUCUAAUCCAGGGCAGAGACCCAGACAGGCACGGUGGUAACUGCAGUGCUAAGGGGUAAGUAAGCACUGAAGAGGGACCCCCACAAUAGCCUGAUGAUGAGGCCUAUGGGGUCAGGAAGCUUGUUCUAUGUCCUAAAAAAGCCAGUGAGUUUGCAGGACACGGGGGUGGGCCUAACAGCGGAGAGAAGAAGUUAGGGAGCAGGUGGACAGAGGCGGCUGAGGGCUGAUUUGCCGUGGAGGCGGCGGGACUCGCCAGGAUACCUAGGAGUCCCCAGACGGCAGCAGCUUGACGCCCGACUCCCUCCCCUCCCCAAACUAAGGGGGCGGUGGGGGACGCUUUCCUGAGAGCAGGUCCGGAGAACAGGGGUGGAAAAGACUCCGAGACUGAAAGCUCCCCCGCCCAGGGUCACCUGGAAUCUGAUGUGAGUAGCCCCCGCCCCCGCUCUGCAGACUGGGACCCCCCGACACCGGUCCGACACACCGACCCCGCGGGCCGGGACCCGUCCCCCCUGCCCCGCAGGCUGGCGGCCCGGGGAGCGCUUGCCGACCACGCUGGAGGCCCUCCCAGGCCGGCCCGGCGCCUCACCCCUCGGUGUACUCGGCCUGCAGCAGCCCCAGGUAGGCCUCCCACUUGUUGCCGACGAUCUUGCCGCACGUGAAGCAGCGCACAGGGAUGAUCAUGGCGGCACCGGAGCAGCCAGCUGCCAAAGUCCUCGAUCCUGCGGCGCUUCCGCCCUCGGCUCCGGCCCCGCCCCGGGCGCGCCCAUGGCGCGGGGGGUGCCCGGCCGUCCGCCCGCCCUGGUGCCGUUGGCGUCCGCUUCCCUCCGCGACGAGUUUCCGAGGCCCGUGCGGCCGCGGCAGGAGCAGGCGGCACCCCCCCGCCUGCCACUUUGGUACAUCCCGGCCUACGGCGUCCGGGCGGGGCCGUAAGGGCCCGGCGGCGGCGUUCGCGUUUCUCGUGUCCGCAUGACUGACAGCUGCGCGACGAGCUGACUGCCCGCAGAGCUCCGGCUUUGGCCUUGCUGACUGCUCACCUGCCGCCUGGCCGGCCUUCAGGGGUGCCAGGCACCGCCUGCCUUCUUCCCUGCCGC